UCCUUGUUCGAGCUACAACGGAGAGAAAGAAAGAAACACAUGUUAGGAGAACAAAGAAAGAUGGUUGAUGGUCAGGUGGGAGCCACAUGAGCAAGGGAGGAAGAGUGAGGGAGAGAGAGUGACAGAGUACUGGCAUAGUAUAGUGGGAGAAGAGUAGA